rnacentral:tRNA from 1 species
GUCUCGGUGGCGCAAUUGGUAAGCUUACCAUUCAUCAAAUUCACCCAAUCAUCCAGUCACUAAUUCAGAAUAAAGGUUAGCGCGUACGACUGUUAAUCGUGAGGUUGAGAGUUCGAUCCUCUCCCGGGACG